rnacentral:rRNA from 1 species
AACGCGAAGAACCUUACCAGGGCUUGACAUGUCCAGAAUUCUGCAGAAAUAGGGACUUCCCGCAAGGGACCUGUGUAGAGGUGCUGCAUGGCUGUCGUCAGCUCGUGCCGUGAGGUGUUGGGUUAAGUCCCGCAACGAGCGCAACCCUUACUCGUAGUUGCCACCCGCAAGGGGGAACUCUACGAGGACUGCUCCGGAUAACGGAGAGGAAGGUGGGGAUGAGGUCAAGUCAGCAUGGCCUUUAUGUCCAGGGCUACACACGUGUUACAAUGCGCGCCACAAAGCGUCGCGAACCCGCGAGGGGGAGCUAAUCGCAAAAAAGCGCGCUCAGUUCGGAUUGCAGUCUGCAACUCGACUGCAUGAAGCCGGAAUCGCUAGUAAUGGCGCAUCAGAACGGCGCCGUGAAUACGUUCCCGGGCUUGUACACACCGCUAGUC